CCUAGGGAGGCAGCAGUGGGGAAUAUUGGACAAUGGGCGCAAGCCUGAUCCAGCCAUGCCGCGUGAGUGAUGAAGGCCUUAGGGUUGUAAAGCUCUUUUACCAGGGAAGAUAAUGACAGUACCGGGAGAAUAAGCUCCGGCUAACUCCGUGCCAGCAGCCGCGGUAAU
rnacentral:rRNA from 1 species